rnacentral:rRNA from 1 species
UACGAAGGGGGCUAGCGUUGCUCGGAAUCACUGGGCGUAAAGGGUGCGUAGGCGGGUUUUAAGUCAGAGGUGAAAUCCUGGAGCUCAACUCCAGAACUGCCUUUGAUACUGAAAGUCUUGAGUAUGGGAGAGGUGAGUGGAACUGCGAGUGUAGAGGUGAAAUUCGUAGAUAUUCGCAAGAACACCAGUGGCGAAGGCGGCUCACUGGCUCGGUACUGACGCUGAGGUACGAAAGCGUGGGUAGCGAACGGGG